rnacentral:SRP_RNA from 3 species
GACCUGGAUCUAUGCGAUCGCAACACCCAAAUCUUGUCAGAACCGGAAGGUAGCAGCAACACGGGAGGCUUGUGAUAGGCGUAGUCUCCGGGUCGCC